rnacentral:rRNA from 1 species
AGGGUCCGAGUUGUAAUUUGCAGAGGGUGCUUCGGCGUCGGCCCCGGGCCAAGUCCCCUGGAACGGGGCGUCCUAGAGGGUGAGAACCCCGUACCCACCCGGGUGCCCUUCGCCGUGUGAAGCCCCUUCGACGAGUCGAGUUGUUUGGGAAUGCAGCUCUAAGCGGGAGGUAAAUUUCUUCUAAAGCUAAAUACCGGCCAGAGACCGAUAGCGCACAAGUAGAGUGAUCGAAAGAUGAAAAGCACUUUGGAAAGAGAGUUAAAAAGCACGUGAAAUUGUUGAAAGGGAAGCUCUUGCCGCCAGACUUGCCGCGGUUGCUCAGCCGCCCUCCGGGGCGGUGUACUCUUCCGUCGACAGGCCAGCGUCGGUUCGGGCGACCGGAUAAAGGCCUCGGGAAUGUAGCACCUCUCGGGGUGUGUUAUAGCCCGGGGCGCAAUGCGGUCAGCCCGGUCCGAGGCACGCGU